CUCUUCUCUCUCUCUGUCUCUCUGUCUCUCUAUUAGGCUAGCUGGAGUCGUUGCUGCUAGCUAGCGGCGCCGGUAGCGGUCCCUCGGCUUCUCCAUCACCGCUCACACAACACCAGCGAAUGGAUGGACGGAUGGAUGGAAACAGCAGCGUGUCAUCCGUUCAGCUCCUCCUCACUGAGAACAACUCAUCUACCAGAAGAUCCCAAAGCUCUCAGGCUUCAGCUCGUAUACAAGAACAAACAAACUAUUUAUCAAAAAACUGCAAUCAGAGGCUGCAAAUAUGGUAUGGGAGGAGGAAACACUAACAAUGCAAACCCAAAAUCCUUUUACCAAAGACCAAGAUAGGAAGUCACAAAGAGUGGUGGAAGAAGUACUCAGAUCCUUUUUACAGAAGUAAAAGAAAUACUACAGUCUAAAAAUACUGCAUUACAAGUAAAAGUCCUGAAUUCAAAAUGUUAAGUAGAAGUAUUAUCUGCAAAAUGUACUUAAAGUAUCAAAAGUAAAAGUAUUCAUUCUGCAGAAAGUCUUCUUUAAAAGUGUUUUAUUAUUAUAGAAUAUUAUAUUAUUCUGUUUUCCGUAACUAACAAAUACAUGUAAGAGUAGUUCAAUGUUUGUAGUUCAGUUCAUCAAUGUGGAGCACAUUUUUUGGAUACUUUGUAUACUACUGGGUAGAUUAGUAUUAGUACUGCAUCAUGUGUUUUUACAUGUAAAAAGUAAAUAAAAUAUAAAUAAUAUAUACUUUUACUUAAGUAACAGUAAAAGUAAAAUACCACAGUUUAAAAGUACUCCAUUAUAAGUAAAAGACCUGAAUUCAAAAAUGUUAAGGAAAAGUACAGAAGUAUUAUCAGCAAAAUGCACUUAAAGUAUCAACUAGCAAUUGUCUGUUUUUAAUCUUUUAUGGUUUUAUUCCAUUUUUAGACAAUAGAAACACCCAUUUUCUCCCGUCCUCCUUGUGGAUGUGGAUGAUUUUUAAACUUGUGUUUUUGUCGCUGAAUUGUAAAACACGUUGUACUGCGUUCUCUACAUGAAAGGUGCUACUGUAUAUAAAUGAAGUUCACUCAUUCAUUGAUGAUGUCAGUACUUGUAAUGUUAUAUAAAUCACUAGAGUAUGUGUAGAAAAUGUGUUACUAUAGCUUGUUUCAAAUGUGCCAUUCUACCACCUGAUGGCGCCACAGUGACACAGACUAGGUGAUUAAACUGAAAACCUUCAGUCAGCUUCAUCCUCUCCACAACUCACAUUUAGUGUCCAGCAUGUUAAAUUAUGUUGUUUAGCUUUUUCUGCUUUUAAAUGUGUGUAUAUACUGUAUAUAUUGUGAUGUUUUAAUUUAGUCUAAUGUUGUUUUAAUUGCCUCCUUGGCCAGGUCGUCAUUGUAAAUGAGAAUUGGUUCUCAGUUGAUUUUAAUCUGGUUAUAUAAUGGAGAAAGAACUGUGCCAUCUUACUUUUUGUAUUGCACAGUGAAAAUGGAAAUCUCUGAUCUCCGAAAUGUAAACUUUGAUGGCAGCAAAGAAAGUCAAGUUUGCUGCUUAUCUUGUCUACAAUUACAUUUAUUAUAUUUAUGAACAAG